rnacentral:rRNA from 1 species
AUUGAACGCUGGCGGCAGGCUUAACACAUGCAAGUCGAGCGAGCGGCGGACGGGUGAGUAAUGUCUGGGAAACUGCCUGAUGGAGGGGGAUAACUACUGGAAACGGUAGCUAAUACCGCAUACCAUCAGAUGUGCCCAGAUGGGAUUAGCUAGUAGGUGGGGUAAUGGCGCACCUAGGCGACGAUCCCUAGCUGGUCGGAGAGGAUGACCAGCCACCCUGGAACUGCGAGACGGUCCAGACUCCUACGGGAGGCAGCAGUGGGGAAUAUUGCACAAUGGGGGAAAGCCUGAUGCAGCCAUGCCGCGUGUGUGAAGAAGGCGUUCGGGUUGUAAAGCACUUGCAGCGAGGAGGCGUUACUCGCAGAAGAAGCACCGGCUAACUCCGUGCCAGCAGCAGCGGUAAUUC